rnacentral:rRNA from 1 species
UACGGAGGGUGCGAGCGUUAAUCGGAAUUACUGGGCGUAAAGGGUGCGUAGGUGGUUUUUUAAGUCAGCUGUAAAAUAUUUGGGCUCAACCUAAAUUUGUUGGCUGAUACUGGGGAACUUGAGUACGGGAGAGGGUAGUGGAAUUUCCGGUGUAGCGGUGAAAUGCGUAGAUAUCGGAAGGAACACCGGUGGCGAAGGCGGCUACCUGGCCUGAUACUGACACUGAGGCACGAAAGCGUGGGGAGCAAACAGG